UCUCUCCUCAUUUUUUGCAUUUCAGGCCUCCUAAUUCCUUUCAGACAUUUCUCUAGGGCUCAUCCUUGAAUUUUUACUCCUAUCUACUGUUUCUGAAAGUGUUUUAUAGAUUAACUGUUGGUCUUGAUGUCAACGUUGCUGUUCCCUCCUAAAUCUCCCUUCUCUUUGAGAGGAGGUGAGGGUGGAGAGUUUUUUGAAGCUGCAGGCUAGGGGUAAUGACUUUAGUCUGGAUGAUUUGGUUUGCAGAGAGCGAAGGCCUUGGCUGAGAGACAUGAUCUUGGGUGGCUGAGUUAGAGGAACCGAAACUUGAUUGCUUCUCUGUGGGCAGCUCUAAGAUCUCCUUCCUGUUGUCCCUGGGCAGGAGGCUUAUUCCUGGAGAUGGGGCCAUUCCUAGCUUUUCAGCCUAUCCUGGGUUUCCUCUCUGGGCAUGGGGAGUAAAUGGCUCCUGAGGAAGUUUCUGAAGCGGCUUCUCUUGGUCAGACACAUGUUUUUGUGUCAAUCAAGUUGGUGUCAGCUGGAUCACAUGUCACUGAAGAGGUACCAGCCUCCAGAGCCACGUGGGGAGGGAGCGGGGACACUGAGGUCAGAGACAAGGGGAAGUGCUCUACUUUGUUAGAGGAGAAUCUGAGUGACUGCUUUGCUGGGCAACAAGAUCUGCCAGCUUGGGGAAGAUUUUUUUAAAUAGCCAGCCAAGCCAAGUCCACUGUGCUUAUUCUCCGUUUUGCUUUGGAGCUUGGCAUCGGCAGGGCUGAGGGCAGACUGCAGCCGUUUUCUUUUAAAAUCAAUCAAUAAACUUCAAGGAGAACAAAUGUUCCAGGUUCUCCUAAAGCUUUCCCCCAGAAGUUUGAGAUAAGGCUGGGAGAAGGGAUGUCACUUCUCCAGGGACUUUUCCCAGGUCAGGGGUGGUAGAACCUCUUGAAAUUUAAGAAAAGGAGAGAUUUAAUUUUUCAGUAAAAAUCUAGAAAUAACCAGGUUGUCAGAUCAUCAGCACCUGUUAGGCGAAUUCUGAUGCAGAAAGCAGUGUUACUGAUGAUCUAGUCUCAUUGACUGCUUCUUCCACUCUCUGUGACCCCCCUUCCCCACCCCACCCCCCAUAUCUUAGGCGUUUGAAAGGCCCAAGCCCAGAGCAGUUAUUAGACUCCAGAAGGGAAUACUGGCUUUGGUUGCUUGCCUUUGAAACAAUCAACUGCUCUCUAGCUGUGUGGUCCUGGGCAAGUAAAUUAACUUCUCUGGGCCUUAGUUUCCUCUCAUCUAAACUAGGGGCAGUGAUCAUCGGUCACGAUUUUAAUCUCAUAUUACGGUACUGUGGAUCCCAUAAAAGAAUACAUGUUGAGCAUCAGAUACAUAGUAAUUGCUCAGACUAUGUUGACUGCUACUGUUAUUAUGACGAUUAUCACUUCCUGCUCAGCCCUUGGAAUUAUACCACUCACAUUUAUUUUUAUCAUCUCAAAUCGGGUGACAGCCUAGUGGGUUUAAAGCUUGACUCACUUGCUGGUCCGUGUGGGCCGAUGACAGGGAUCCUGGGAAGCCGGGUCCUAGGACUCCAGUUUUUAGUGGGAAGGUGUCACUCUCCUAAGGCCCUUCUCCAGCCUUAGGAGAGGACCCAGAGAGAAAGUUUGUCCCUGGGCCCAGACUCAGACGCAGCCUUCUGGGAAGCAGCUGGAUAAGCUGGGGCACUGGGUGUCAUGGGAAAAGUGGGGAUCUGAGAAAGGUGUCCCUGGGGCUAAGCGGCUCACCCUCCCCUCCUGCCACACGCUCCAGCAUCUUGGGGCUGAAAACAAGGGUUGGGCUAGACAGGACUCUUCCCACUCCUCCACCUGCCAGGGAUACCACCUCCAGAGAGCAACUGCUUGGUGCACAGUCUUCCUGGCCUAAGGGGUCUGUUCUGGAUUUGAGGCAUCACCUGCCCCUGUAGCACAGCUACAGGAGGCACUAACUUUCUGCAAGCCUCUCUCACCAGUUGGUAGAUUUCAACCGUCUUUGACAUUCACUAGCAGUGUGUUGUUCCCUUCAUUGUGGACACUUAUUUGGCAGUGAAAGUGGAGCGGAGUCCCAGCUGUGUGCUUGAAAGUGUUCUCGUAGCUGGGAAUAGAGUGAUGGGUGCCCUUACCUUGUGGAGGGAAGAAGAAAAUAACCAAACAGGAUACAGGGCCAGGGGAAAAAAUGAAACAGGAGUAUGUGCUCCAGAGGGCUUGUAAAGGGGGAGCUUGAGACCUGACAAGGUGACCUAUGAGCUGAGAUGUGAGUGAUAAGGAGCCAACAGGCGGAGGUGAGGAGAGCAUGCCAGUAGACGGAAGAGCUGGGGCAAAUCCUGAGGCAGGGGGAGGCCUGGAGCGUUUGGGAAGGAGAGAGAUUGUGGCUAGAACAUUCAGAGUGAGAAAGGGGCCUGGAAGGGGCCAGAUCCCAUGAGGCCCUGUAGGUCAUGGGAGGGGCUCUGGUUUUUAUUUAUUCUCUGUUAUGGAAAACAUUGGAACCUUUUCAACAGAGGAGCGACACAAUAGGGUUUAUGCUUCAAAGACUCUUAUAAAGGCAAGAGUGAAGCCAGGAGCCAGUGAUGAGUGGGUCCAGGCAAGAGAUGAUGGUAACCAUCAAUACUAGCAUGGUAUUGAUAAAGAUGGAGGGAAAAGCCCAGCCUUAGGAUCUGUUCUGGAGGAAUUAUUCAGUCAGUUCAGUUCAGUUCAGUCGCUCAGUCUUGUCCAACACUUUGUGACCCCAUGAAUCGCAGCACUCCAGGCCUCCCUGUCCAUCACCAACUCCCGGAGUUCACUCAGACUCACGUCCUUCGAGUCUGUGAUGCCAUCCAGCCAUGUCAUCCUCUGUCAUCCCCUUCUCCUCCUGCCCCCAAUCCCUCCCAGCAUCAGAGUCUUUUCCAAUGAGUCAACUCUUCGCAUGAGGUGGCCAAAGUAUUGGAGUUUCAGCUUUAGCAUCAGUCCUUCCAAUGAACACCCAGGAGUGAUCUCCUUUAGGAUGGACUGGUUGGAUCUCCUUGCAGUCCAAGGGACUCUCAAGAGUCUUCUCCAACACCACAGUU
rnacentral:lncRNA from 1 species